GACGAACGCUGGCGGCGUGCCUAACACAUGCAAGUGGAGCGACGAACCGGGCUUCGGCCCGGGGCCAAGCCGCGAACGGGUGAGUAACACGUGGGUAACCUGCCCUGAUGAUUGGGACAACCCGAGGAAACUCGGGCUAAUACCGAAUGUGCCCUCCGACCAUAAGGUCUGCGGGGAAAGGAAGCUUCGGCCUCCGCAUCGGGAUGGGCCCGCGGCGCAUUAGCUUGUUGGUGAGGUAACGGCUCACCAAGGCGACGAUGCGUAGCUGGUCUGAGAGGACGAUCAGCCACACUGGGACUGAGACACGGCCCAGACUCCUACGGGAGGCAACAGUGGGGAAUCUUGCGCAAUGCGCGAAAGCGUGACGCAGCAACGCCGCGUGGGGAAGACGGCCU
rnacentral:rRNA from 1 species